GAAGAUAUAGCUCAGUGGCAGAGUGUGUGCUUAGUAUGCAUGAGAUCCUGGGUUCAAUCCCCUGUACUUUCG
rnacentral:tRNA from 1 species